CAAUAGCGUAUAUUAACGUUGUUGCAGUUAAAAAGCUCGUAGUUGGAUUUCUGGAGGGAGCGUCGACCCGUAUUUACGAGUGCGUGACGUCUCUGUCCAUCCUUGCGGGAAGGCACGGCAUUGAUUUGUUGUGUCGGAUCGCAUCAUUUACUGUGAAAAAAUUAGAGUGUUCAAAGCAGGCUUUCGCUUGAAUACAUUAGCAUGGAAUAAUAAGAUAGGACUUUGGUGCUAUUUUGUUGGUUGAGCCUAAAGUAAUGAUUAAUAGGGAUAGUUGGGGGCACCUGUAUUGCGUUGUCAGAGGUGAAAUUCUUGGAUUUACGCAAGACAAACAGCUGCGAAAGCGUCUGCCAAGGAUGUUUNCAUUAA
rnacentral:rRNA from 1 species